GAAAAUUUGUGUCAUUUCAUCUGUCUAAAAAAGUUAGCAGUCUAAAUAAAACACUCCAAGAAGUUAUAUAUAUUUUGCUUGCCCUUCAAUGGGUCAUUUGUUGAAUGUGUUUAAAACCACACAGAAACAAAAAUGACACAAGAAGGACAAGAAUAGUCAUUGCAGGAGGCUUUUACCAUGGGUAUUCUGUCAUUUUGAAUGCACUGUAUCUUAGGAUUAUUUUAAAUGAAUACAGUGUACACAUUUUGUGAAAAAAAAAUUACAGUUCUAUGUGGUUAUGUGUUUAUAUUAGUGGGAUAAUAAAUUAAUAGGAUGCGGCAAAGUUGCACACUCAAAGGAAGAAAGUGGAUUGAGACUGGGGAGACUGACAGCACCAUCUAUAAGAAGGACAGUUAACUAGACAACGAUCCUGAAAACAAAGAAGCACAAGUCAAUCAACAUUCACUCCUACUAUACUGUAAGCUAAAAGAUCACACAUAUUCACAACAGUUACUUCUAUGUGCAAGCAUUUAUGAAGUAUGUUAUGCGAUUGUGGUGGGGUCAUUUUUUAAACAUUUUUUUUUUGUUCUUUCCUCAGGGCUUCAGUGACAAACUCCAUUGGCUAUAUCUAUACCUUUAAAAAUUCUAUGCAGAACUCUAUAACAGAGGGUUUCCAUUCACUAAAGGUUUCAAGUGGAACCUGUACAGAAAGCCGGGCACAUUAACUGUCCAAAGUAUCCACGAGGAACCCUUUAUCUAAGAGUGUACCACUUGUAUUGAUAAUCUAUGGUUAGGGUUAAUGUUUACAUAUAUGGCAUUAGCUUAGGGACAGUACCCAAAUGCUACUGCAAAAUCUUGAAAACGAUAGAAAAAUGUCUUAGGCAUUAUGUCAUAUUCAACAGCCUCAACACUCAGCAUCUGAUUAAUAAGGAACAUAAAUAAAAACUGUAGUACAAAUUGUAUCUUACUAUUGUUCUUCAGCUUAUGCCAGGUUUGAAGGUUAGUUUUCCAGACUGUAGGUCAUGUUCUCUUUCUAUGGAAAAAGCAUAUUAUCAUGCCUCGGCUGAGUAGGCUGACAGAGAUAUGAUUAGUUUGUCAUAACACAACUAGCUUCCCUAUAAAUAUCAGUCACAGUCUUGGAAUAUAUUCUAAAUAAUAUUUAAAUUUAGGGCAUAUGCCCUUAUCCAGAGCAACUUACUUUUUUUGUUAUACAACUGAGCAGUUGAGGGCCUUGCUCAAGGGCCCAGCAGUGGCAGCUUGGUAGUGCUGGGAUUUAAACUCAUGAUCUUCUGAUCAGUAGUCCAAUGUCUUAACCACUGAGCUACCACAGCCCAAAUUAGCUUGUCAGGCAUUGUCCCUGCUAGUCACUUCACAUUUUGGUGCUAAUGCAUAGGAAAAGUUCACUUCAUGGCACAUAGGAAAGGCCCCAUAUCAUUAAUCCAACAUGCUGCAGUCUUUACAAUAAAACCAAAAGUAGUUAAGACUAUUCUAUUUUUGUACUGUAUAAAAAGGUUUUAAUGAAUAAUAUCUUGGCACUGAGCUAAAGCACCCACAGUAUUUGCUAGCGUUCGUUUGAUAUUCUUUAACCAGUGAUGAAACUAAAUUAAAGUGAGUUUUUCAUGAUAUUUGAUCAUUUGCAUGCAUAUAGUAUUAGAUUUGUGUGCCUGACAAUAGAAGCCAUUUGUCAAGCUAGUUCUGUGUGAAGCUUGAAAAUGAGCAGGUGGUGUUUGUGUCUCAAGAUACCUGCUGCUAACUUAGGACACAGCAGACAUGCCAGGAAAAAAGAUAAGAGGGAGAAACCUCUUCCCAGUAACAUACUGUAGCUCUGUCGAAGUUAAAGGAGCAGUUUAUAAUUUUAAACCCUCCUGUAAGGAAAAUGGCUAUUGGAAUAUAACCAUGGACAAGCCCUCUCACCUUUUCUUCACCUGCAGCCAAUUUUGUCUUCUUUACAUUCAUGGAGAGUAUAGUGACAGUGUUUUCCUUGCAUAUGCUAGCUUGUUAGCACACUGGGAUCAGAGUGUAUGGUCAGCCAUGGUACAACACCACAAGAAAAGAGAGCGAUAAGGGACCAAGAAGGCAGCUCGACAGCACAGUGAUUUGAAUUAAUGACCUUCUGAUCAAUAGGCCAGAACCUUAACUAAUGAACCACCACUGCUAAAUUGUUGCUGACUAUUGAUCACAGACACCUAAUUGAUGACUGUAAAUUAGUUGUGUAUGCAUCAAAUAAACAACUAAUAGUGAUGAAAUUUACAAUAUUGACUAGCUCAGAUUUAUUGUGUAUCAAAUUUGGGUUUUUAGUGCAAUUAUUUUGGCAGUAUUCAACUCAAAAACACAGAAGACCCUGUGUAAGAGGGCAUGUGAGCUUUUUAUUCAGACAUGUGCAUGUCGCAUGGUAGUGGGCAAUGUAACAUUUUUCAAUAUAAAUGACUAUAAGUGCCUCUUUAAGCUUUGCUCUGCUCAUAGCCACUUACACACAUGCUCAGCUCACCUUUCAGGGAGAAAUGGAAAGAAAGAUCCUAUUAAUAUACAGGGAAACAGGGCUCAGGUGUGCUACAUUAGUCAUUAGACCUGUAGCUUGUCCCCUAACACCACCCUCCCGCUGGAGAAAACCACUCCCCCACCUGUUAUAGUUAGUUAUGCUGAUUGCCUGAUAGAACAUGUGAUUCUUAUGCACGUACACGAUGUAGAUUCAGAUGGCACAACCCCAAAAUAAAUAAACCAAGUAUGAAAUAUGUUAUAUUUAAUGUGCAGUGCAAGAUUCAUUCAUUAGUCUAAGAUUUGUUACUGUAUGCAAAGCAUUGAAAAUUUGGGAGAAUCAUUGCAGAGAAUUUCCAACAAGCUGAAAAACACAUCCCAAAAGGGCCGUCCUGAAUUUGCUGCAGGCUCGUGUUCACGCGGCUUUCUGCUGCGUACAAAACACAUCCAAACAGCUUGUAAUUACGUCACUACCUCUGCUUUCCCACCUUUCAUCUUAUAAUUACACCAUCUUUAUCACCUCUCACACAUUUUCCCCUCAGCAAAAAAGGGAAGCAGAACAGAGAGAGAAGUUGAGCAGAGAUACUGGAGAAAUUAGAAUAGCAGACAGAUAAAUAAAAAAAAAGAUAGAGAGCAGACAGUAAGACAGAUAAACAGAGAAAACAAUUAUGCAACAUAGAGAAUGAAUAAAAACAUUUUAGACAGAGAAAUGUUGAAAAACAGAGUAGAUGGAGGGGAAGCAAAGAAGACAUGAAAGAAGAAAGAACAGACCAGACAAGGAGAAGCAGCAAAGCAUGUGCUCUGUACCAGCUCUAAUCACGGUGAUAUGGGUCGAGUGAGCAGGGCCAUGGAGGAGUCCGGUGAUGAGACAGGAAAUGAGGAGGAGUGUGAGGUUGCUCAGAGACUUGGCCAGGUUUAUAAGCUUGUUUGUGCAGUGGCAGCCACUCUCUGCCCUUUGAUGGAGCUAAUUAACCUUAGCCUAAGUUAGCAACAGGGACCUCCUAGAGCUGAGGUGUGGAGUGCUGCCUGAACUCGUCUUCAAAGCAAGCAUCCACAGUUUCCCCUUAACACGUUUCAUUUAUAGCUCUCGCACACAUACUUUUCUUCCAUUUUCACUGAACCCAAACAUAACCAUGUAUUAGGUUUUUCUAAUGCAUUUGGCUUUCUUUUUUAUCUAAGCAAAUAAAUCAUCUUCUGUCCAGUAUUAUAAGGUUAAUUUCCCUAUGGAUUUAUGUAAUUGAGUUGCCUACAAGGAGUAGUAGCAUUGGAAAUGUGAUGUAUGGUAAACUUCAAAGCAUAUAUAUAUGGCCAUAGCCAGCCUCAGUCAGGAGUCUGUAUCUUCUGUACUCAUCUGGUUUGGAAGCAUCUGACCAAUUCCCUUGUUCACUAACCCCCAUGUAAUAACAUUAGGAAAUAAAUAGCGGGCAUUUCUCCAAUUACCCAGUCAAUGCAAUGAGUUCAAGGAUAUGGUGCUAAUUAAGUGAAAGUGUGAGAGCUCUCAGCAUUAUUGAUGAGCCUCUGUGUUCAUCUCCAUAUUUCUGGCGUCACUUAACUAAAGAGCAAGCUAUGUGUGGAAAUGGGAAGAGCAGUUCAGCUACACUACUGCACACAACCUUAAUUCAGCGAAACUGAUGGUAAUUGAAGAGACACGUUUCCCUGUCUUACUCAGUGUAUGCUUGUCAGUCAUUAUCAAGGGCAGAAUUUUUGAGCCAGAGACACAAAUGAGUGAGACACAAUAGCAAAGAGAUGAGGCUCAGUGUGAGAGCAUGGUGUAAUUAGGGAGAAUCAGGAAUAUUUGGUUUCAAUUACAUUAUUCCUGAGUUUGAAAAGAGGAAUUAAACUAUUAUUUAUCGGCAGAAAUGGUAGGUAUUAAAAAAUAUGUAGCAAUAUUACAAGGAUGUAGCCAAGUAUAUGGAAAUAUCUUUACAUUUACUGUAUGUUGCUAUUUCAGGUUACUGCUGACAUCAAAAUGAAACAUCUUUAGUUUGGCAUAUAACCUAUAUUACAAAUCCCAUUACAAAUCACUAUAUUACAAAUGUAGUUACGUACAGUAUAACCAAAAGCACACAUUGUAAUAAAAAUAAUUGUUUGACAAGAAAGGAAAAGAACUAGUAAUAUAAGCCAGUGGAAUAUUCAAAAUAGGGCGAAGCGACUGAAGCAGGUCUAUGCAUGUUGGCAGCUUACAAGUAGCAGAUUGUCUCCUCCAAACGUCACUUUUACAGUACGGCCAGGCCGUCUUAGAGCUAAUGCAGCAAAUGCUACUUUGCACAUACUAUUAUCCUUACAUUUUUAUUUGAAUCAAAGCUAUAUGUUCAAACUAUAACUAUAUUGUUAACUUCAAGAGUCUACCACAUAUGCAAAAAGAAAUUCAAACAGCCCUCACUCCAAGUCUGCAAUUAACUAUGUGCUCACUGACAGUAAUCAACACUUAUUUUAAUAAUAUUUAUUCCUCUUCCACAACCAAAUGCUCUGGUUGGAAGUUGUGUGUGAGAGAUAAUUGGCACCCUUCUAGCAGAGGAUGGUAAAUAUUUGCAUUCUGCAUGCUGAUGAAAGGAAGUGCUCCAUAUUUUUGUAUUGAAUGUCAUCUGGGCCAUCUGGCUAAUACAGCAUAUGCAGAUGCACAAGAGUGAAUGAGUGAAUGGGUCAGUUCUGUGAAUAAAGGAGUCAGUCAGUAACUUGUGCUAUUGCUCCUCCUCUAUACAACACAAAUAACAUACACAGUGUCACGCCUCCUCACAUUUGUGCACUAUGUGUAUGUAUGUGUGUGUAAAUGUGAUUGGACAUUAAAAUGGAAAAGUUGUAGAUAUGGAAAAAAAAAAAAAAAGCUAUGGAUCUGUGGUGAGGAAGAAAACAGCUAGUUUUCAUCAGAUUAUUCCAAGACAGUAUUACAAUACAGAACAACAUAACAACAUUAGUAAUCCAUCAACCCAGUGCAUAUUUCCAAACUAAUUAUACUAGAAUCAAUCAUGUUACAUGACGUACUUACAUACGAUAGCAGCAUAUUUCAUUCUCUUCUAGUAGCAUUGUGUAGCUUUAUAAUGCAGAUAGGGGGUAAUAUAAAAUGAUGGCAUACUUUGAGACUUGAAAUACUGUUAUUAUGAAAAUGAUUCCUGGAGAAAUGCCUUUUGGGUUUGGUUGCCAUGACAAGAGGGUGUCUGGGAAGGUUCUGGUGAUCUUUUGCUCAAAGUUCAAGAUUAGAGCUUGGAGAAGGUGGAGGCUGGACAUUGAAUGGUUUCAGCUUUUUUUUUUCCUGAUCUCUAUUAAUCAAGAGCGGCUGAAUUGAAGGGGAUGUAUUUGGUGCUGGGUUGUCCAUCUUUUCUUGCUAGUGUCAGGAAGACACUACCUUAAAGGUUUGCAUGAUUAUCUAGACUUUUUAUUUUUACUCCAGCCAUGGCUCCUCCCUGGAUAAUUUGGCUAUUUUCUCUUGUCUGCUGUGCUCUUAUUAUCUUAUAUUUACAUUUACCUUGAUAGCUUAUAUUUAAAAGUGAGUGUUAAUUCUCCUGUUAUUUUUCGAUCUUUAUGGCAAAGUGAUGUACAUAGUCAAGAUAAAUGUGAGGUCAGUGAAUUUUAGGACCAAACCAUUUGUUCAGUAAGUUCUCCUAACUGGCAGCUAUAAAUAAUAAAUUUGCUUCUGACUUAAAUGUUGAGCUUCAGGAAAACUCUUUAGUUCCUCUUAAAAUGCAGAUUAAACCUUUGAGGAUAUAUAUUUUAAAUACUGUUUGGUCUUUUACAAUUCAUUAUUUUCAUUCAUUCAUUCAUUCAUUCACUCACUCAUUCAUUCACUGUUCUUCCACAUUUCCUGUGGGAUUUGUGGUGGCAACAGGAUAAGAAAGACUUCUCUAUCCCUAGUCACAGAUUCUCACUCCUCCUGGAGAGUCCCCAGGACAUUACUAAGUCCACUGUGAGAGUCCUGGGUCUACCUCUGGGUCUUUCCACUGGGCACUUAGUAUUCACUUUGAUAAUUAUCUGCCUUUAACAUCUCCCAUAUCAGAAUUACAGAAAACAAUAGACAGAGAGGAAGGGCAGGUUUGGUAGAAAAGGAGGGUCACUUGUCAAUGAGCAAAUGAUGUUGUCAGUCACAUUACCUUGACAGAAAAAAGCUUAACCACAUUAUGAAAUUGAAUAAUACAUUUUAAAUGAGCAAGGAGGUUUUUGUCUCACAAAGCAUGCUCACAGAGAGUUGUAUGAAUCAUCUCAGUGUUGACUAGACAGUGAGCUGGAAGACGAUGAGGAGAUGAGAGGAGAGGAAAGGACAGAAGGAUCACUACCCAGAUCCUGCAGCUUUUCACUGUACACACUGACUGCACAUGAGUGACAUUCACCAAAAUGUCAUUAUUACAGAUUACCCAAUGCUCUAGUACCAUCAACAUACUCAUAACACAUUGCAUCCUUCUUAAUAUCUGACUAAAAUCAUGUAUACCCUUAAUCAAAAACCUUUUAUCAAACAUAUGACUACCAAAUACUUACUCUUUCCUCUUUUUUUUAAACUUUUUUUUUAACUUUUUUUUUUUUUUUUUUUUUUUAAACUUUUUAGUUUAGCUAGUUUAAAGAUGGGUUAGGUUUAAUUCCUAAUAUUUGUAAAAUUACUGGCCCUAUCCUAAAGCCUGGGUUGGAAAUCAUUAAUAAAUGUCCUGUUUUAUAUCUUGAGAGCCUGUGACAAGUGGUAAUCAUAUCAAGUGAAAAUAAAAUCAAGUGAUAAUAAAAGGGUAUACGUUAACAUUUCAACAUACCAUAUAUUGUAGUUCAAAUACACAACAGAGUUACCCAAUCCAUAUUUUAUUCUACAGUAUUUACAAUAUAACAGGUGUUAUAUGCACAGUGCGUUUACUGUAUGUGUGAUAUUCAGCAAUGCGUUGCAGCAAUUUAGGUCAAUAAUCCAUGCCAAAUGGACAGCUUGUGUAUUGAUCAGGACAUAAAUUACACUUCAGUUAAUGUUGACCACUGUGAGACUACUGUAUUACAAUUUCAAGAAAGAAUGCAAAAUAUUAGGAGGAAAAAAUAUAUUUAAAAAAUUCAACUAAAAGAAAAAACAACAAAAAAGAAAAAGUGCCAACUCAUUGUACUAUUCUACCAUUGUAGCCUUACAUUUUUCUUUCUUUAUUCUAUUUUAUUAUAUAAUAUUAGGUGAUACCUUUUGUACGCAGUGGCCCCAAAAGUAAACAGCAAUCAGCAGUGAUUGGAAUAGUGCACUGGUGAAUGAUCAUUAAGAGGGAAAAAAAGAAAUGCUUGUGCUCAAGGUCAUGUAGUAGCUACACAACUGGCAUCAAAAGAUCAUACAUAAAAUAUUUUUAUAUUAUUAUUAUUAUUAUUAUUAUUAUUAUUAUUAUUAUUAUUAUUAUUAAUGAUAUUAUGUGAUUUGGGGGCCAUGAAACCAGCCUCUGCCCUGCAUGCGUGGAGUUUACAUGCUCCCCCCUGCUUCGGGGGUUUCCUCCGGGUACUCCAGUUUCCUCCCCCAGGAUGAAUGAAUAUUAUGUGAUAUAUAUGAUUGGAUUUAAAUGCUCUGAUGUGUGUUUCAUUAUACAGACACCAAAGAUCAAAUUGAUAAAUGUAGAACGCUUCUGCUGAAAUUUGCAUAUGCUUAUUUUAAGCUCAAAUCUGAUGAAACACAACUUUAAUAAGGACCAUUGUUCCUUUUUUGAUCCAUAAGGGAAACCAAAGCACCUAUUACAUUUUAGUUGUUUAUCAAAUAUUUGUGUCUGGGUAUGAAACCUCUAUUUACCCUGUACUUUCUCAGCCUUACUCUUCCGCUGACCUCUUUCCAGCUCUUCAUGCUAAACCUGAUUGAAUCCAUAUGCGCAGAGAGAUACUAUUUGAGCCCAAUGUCCCACUCCACUGCACAGCACAAAGACCCCCCCCCCCCCCCAACCCUACACACCCACUUUCUAAAGCCAAUAUCCAACCCCAAUUGCCAUCCAUCCUUUCCUCCUAUUCCUCCAUUCUUCCUAACUUGUUUUCAUUUCCAAUUAGUGAGAGCUUCUAAUAUUAUCUGUGUGGUUUAAUUGCUUUGGGGUACCUCAAACCAAAACACACUGGAAUAGCGCACUUAUGCUUACUGAAUCACAAAUGAAGGGUAGAUCAGUGUGUUAAGGACAGACAUGAGGGAGACAAAGAGACUUAUCGGAGCUGAUGAAAGCGCAGUCUCAGCAGCUGCAGUGCAGAUGCACGACUCAUUGAUUUGAGAAAACCUCUAAAUCCCUCUCCGCUCAGAGACACUCCAUGACCUCUGGAAACUGGAAACAUGGAUCUGCCUGAGACACUUAAAAAAGGAGGAUGUAAAUGAUGGUGAGGGUGAACAGUAAAGCCCAGUUUACACCCACACAUGUAAUGUAAUAUGUAUUAAUGGUUAAUUAUGAGCACCCACGUACGAUAGACACUUUUCUUUUGUCUGAGUGGUCACAUGGUGGUCAUUAAAAGCUGGUGAGGAAAUCUUUGUUCUGUUUUGUAUAAGACCGUGGUGUUAUUUUCAUAUGAAUGCCCGGGGACUGAAUCAGGGGUGAAGAAAUGAAGAAAUAGGAAUGAAAAUGUAAAGAUGGCAUGUGACAGUAGGGAGAAUUCUAUGAGAACAUUACAGUCGAUCUUGUCCAAUACAUAAGUCACUUAAUCACCACAAGUAUAUAUUCUUUAAAAUUGAACUAAUUUCAAAUGAAUUGGCCAUUUCAAAUCCAACCGUCCGUCCGUCCAUUUUCUGUAAUACUUAUCCUACACAGGGUCGUGGGGAGCCUGACCCCUAUCCCAGGGUGCCUAUCGGGGCACGAGGCAGGGGACACCCUGGAUAGGGUAUCAACCCAUCGCACUACACAAUCACACAUUCACUACGGACAAUUUGGAAAUUCCAAUCAGCCUACAACACACGUCUUUGUAGGAAACUGGAGUACCUGAAGUAAACCCUUGAAACUCUGGGAGAACAUGCAUGCGGGGCGUCAAACUCCCAAUGCUAGAGGUGUGAGGCAAAUGUGCUAACCACUAAGCCACCAUGCCCCCUGCCAUUUCAAAUCACAUCAAUCAAGUCAGAUGCCCAUCAUGUCAGGAAUAAGAGGCAAAGCACACAAUAUCUGUUUAUCAGUUGUGUAGAUUUGGGCCACACAGCACAGUGGAAGCACCACCAUAUUGAAACAGCUGGGAAAGUGCUGCUGGUCUCUAUAACAAGAUUUCAGUCCUAAAUGAAUCCCUCCUGCUGAGCCCUGUGAGCUUCUUACCACCAAAUCCAUCCUCAUUUUGCCACAUGUACAUCCAUUUAUCAAGCAUGUAAUCAGUAAUGCAUUUAUCAGAAAGGCCACGCUAGUGUGAAGGAUACAGAGCAAACAGUGAGACCUUAUUGCUGUGUGACCCCCUAAUAAGAUUUAAAAAAGAUAAACAGAGACUCAGCAGGCAGCACUCACCAACAGUUGUGAAUAAUAAGAAGAUAUACAGGAGCAGAUUACCUCUUGUAAUAAUAAUAAUAAUAAUAAUAAUAA
ensembl:lncRNA